UACGAAGGGGGCUAGCGUUGUUCGGAAUUACUAGGCGUAAAGCGCACGUAGGCGGGUUUGUAAGUAGGGGGUGAAAUCCCAGGGCUCAACCCUGGAACUGCCUUCUAAACUGCAAGCCUGGAGGUCAGGAGAGGCGAGUGGAAUACCGAGUGUAGAGGUGAAAUUCGUAGAUAUUCGGUGGAACACCAGUGGCGAAGGCGACUCGCUGGACUGAUACUGACGCUGAGGUGCGAAAGCGUGGGGAGCAAACAGG
rnacentral:rRNA from 1 species